UACAGAGGGUGCGAGCGUUAAUCGGAAUUACUGGGCGUAAAGCGCGCGUAGGCGGCUUUGCAAGUCGGGUGUGAAAUCCCCAGGCCUAACCUGGGAACUGCACUCGAGACUGCAUGGCUAGAGUAUCGGAGAGGGGAAGUGGAAUUUCAGGUGUAGCGGUGAAAUGCGUAGAUAUCUGAAGGAACAUCAGUGACGAAAGCGACUUCCUGGACGAAUACUGACGCUCAUGUGCGAAAGCGUGGGGAGCAAACAGG
rnacentral:rRNA from 1 species